rnacentral:lncRNA from 1 species
UCUCACUCUGUCGCCCAGGCUGGAGUGCAAUGGCACGAUCUCGGCUCACUGCAACCUCUGCCUCUUGGGUUCACGCCAUUCUCCUGCCUCAGCCUCCUGAGUAGCUGGGACUACAGGUGCCCACCACCAUGCCCGGCUAAUUUUUUGUAUUUUUAGUAGAGAUGGGGUUUCACUGUGUUAGCCAGGAUGGUCUGGUAGUAGUCUUUUUUAUUAUUAUUCUCUUUAGUAGCUGCCAGCCAUCAGUGCAGUCAGAUUAAGCAGGACUUCUGCUGCAAUUUUAAUCCUUCCUGCCCCUCCCCACUCAGUAACUUGCUUAAGCACCAAAUGUAUAAUAGGCACUAACAAACCCCUAUUCCUUGACAACCCCAAAGGAGGUAAGCAGCCGAACAACAACAAACACCCUGUGCCCAAAUAAGCUUCAUGGCCCAAUAUUCCUCCACUGAGCCAACUGUUAGUAAUAAUGAACUCUAGCCAGUUCACUGUUAAUUCCAAGAAAGAAAAUAAUGUGAUCUCUUGCUUUGAAUUCAUUGUCAAAAUAUUUGGCAUGCUUUUAAAUAUCCCCCUAGACAGUAGGGAACCUGCCCUAAACAUUGCCCUACCCCUGGAGAUGGGGUAAGCGAAACAACAGAAAAAAUGCAGAAUAGUGAUAUUGCAUUCUUUGCCCUGCCAUCUAGUGUAAUGGGUAAGAGCACAGAUCCAGGGGCUGAGGCUCCUUGGCAUUAACUUGCACAAGACCUUGACAGCUGCUUAAUCUUUCUGAGUCUCAGUUUCCUCUUCUGUAAAAUGGGUUGUUGUAAGAACUAAAUGUAAAUGAAGUCAUGGAUGAAUGGCAAGAUAAAGUUUUGUUUUCCCCUCACCCCCUUUUUUUCCUCCUCUAACCACCUGCCCAUCAAGGAGAUGGGGAGGGUGGAAAACACAGUAAAGAGAAGAAACUGUCCCUCUAACAAUGCCUGGAGUAUCUAUAGAGCAGUCAACAAUAACAAGAAACAGGUAUGUGUUAUGUUUGCUGCACUCUGAAGAAGAGGAAGGGCCUAAAACCUCCUCAGCAUCUCAUUGUAAGGCCCAGAGCAGGAGCGCCUUGAACCUCUUUACCAGAAUGCAAUCAUUCAUUCAUUCGUGCAGUGAGUGCCAUCUAGGUGCCAGGCAUUGAUUCUGACACAGCAGUGAACAAAAUAAAGUCUCUACUCUCAUGGAGCUUACAUGACAUUCUAGCUGAAGAAAAAACUAAAAGGUUACAUGUGAAACCUAUGCACGAUACCUGUUACCUAGUAAGUACUCAAUAAACACC